rnacentral:rRNA from 1 species
AGAGUUUGAUCAUGGCUCAGAUUGAACGCUGGCGGCAUGCCUUACACAUGCAAGUCGAACGGCAGCAUGAUCUAGCUUGCUAGAUUGAUGGCGAGUGGCGAACGGGUGAGUAAUACAUCGGAACGUGCCCUGUAGUGGGGGAUAACUAGUCGAAAGAUUAGCUAAUACCGCAUACGACCUGAGGGUGAAAGUGGGGGACCGCAAGGCCUCAUGCUAUAGGAGCGGCCGAUGUCUGAUUAGCUAGUUGGUGAGGUAAAGGCUCACCAAGGCGACGAUCAGUAGCUGGUCUGAGAGGACGAUCAGCCACACUGGGACUGAGACACGGCCCAGACUCCUACGGGAGGCAGCAGUGGGGAAUUUUGGACAAUGGGCGAAAGCCUGAUCCAGCAAUGCCGCGUGUGUGAAGAAGGCCUUCGGGUUGUAAAGCACUUUUGUCCGGAAAGAAAUGGCUCUGGUUAAUACCUGGGGUCGAUGACGGUACCGGAAGAAUAAGGACCGGCUAACUACGUGCCAGCAGCCGCGGUAAUACGUAGGGUCCAAGCGUUAAUCGGAAUUACUGGGCGUAAAGCGUGCGCAGGCGGUUGUGCAAGACCGAUGUGAAAUCCCCGAGCUUAACUUGGGAAUUGCAUUGGUGACUGCACGGCUAGAGUGUGUC